UACGGAGGAUCCGAGCGUUAUCCGGAUUUAUUGGGUUUAAAGGGUGCGCAGGUUGUUUGAUAAGUCAGUGGUGAAAGUCUGUCGCUUAACGGUAGGAUUGCCAUUGAUACUGUUGGACUUGAAUAUGGAUGAGGUAGGCGGAAUGUGUAGUGUAGCGGUGAAAUGCAUAGAUAUUACACAGAACACCGAUUGCGAAGGCAGCUUACUGGGCCAUUACUGACGCUGAUGCACGAAAGCGUGGGGAGCAAACAGGAUUAGA
rnacentral:rRNA from 1 species